UGGGGAAUAUUGGACAAUGGGCGAAAGCCUGAUCCAGCCAUGCCGCGUGUGUGAAGAAGGUCUUCGGAUUGUAAAGCACUUGAAGUUGGGAGGAAGGGCAGUAACCUAAUACGUUGCUGUCUUGACGUUACCGACAGAAUAAGCACCGGCUAACUCUGUGCCAGCAGCCGCGGUAAUACAGAGGGUGCAAGCGUUAAUCGGAAUUACUGGGCGUAAAGCGCGCGUAGGUGGUUUGUUAAGUUGGAUGUGAAAUCCCCGGGCUCAACCUGGGAACUGCAUUCAAAACUGACAAGCUAGAGUAUGGUAGAGGGUGGUGGAAUUUCCUGUGUAGCGGUGAAAUGCGUAGAUAUAGGAAGGAACACCAGUGGCGAAGGCGACCACCUGGACUGAUACUGACACUGAGGUGCGAAAGCGUGGGGAGCAAACA
rnacentral:rRNA from 1 species